UCAUGUAUUUGCCUCUCGCUGCCUUCUCUGAUGAUUUUUUGCUUUUUUGGGCUGGUCAUUCUCCGCAAGUUUUGCUGCACACAAGGUUGAUUUCUGUGUGAUGUGUUGCUGGUAUUGUUAUGUAUUCUUUCAUGGCUGGUUUAUGGCAUGCAUUGCUGAGUAUUUCUUUAUUCUAUUUGUCAAAUUUUUGACUUAUUUGCCCUCUCCUUGUGGUGUUCGAAGACUUUCGUCAGGUGUGAAUAUUGAGUGUGUUUGUGCCGGUGUUAGAUUUACUUUGGGAAUUGAAAAUCAGGAGAUAAUAUGAUCCUCUUGUUUACCUUUCUUGCAGUAAAGGUGCUUGAGUUUACUGUCUUUCCUUUGAAUUAUUUGUUGUUUCAUUUUUCUUCUCAAAUUGCAAACCAGCUUCGUUAGGUUUCUUCUUGUGGCAUGAAAUUUGAACUUAUGGAUAAUUUGAUGUUGUAUUAUUUGAUCUUAUGGUGAUUGAUGGCUAAAUUUAAAAGCUUUUUCCUAUUUUCCCCUCUGAUGAAUUUAAGGCCUUUGCCUAUUUUGGUUGAAUAUGUUCUUGAUUUGAGCCCGUUUCAUUCAAGUAUUAUACCAUGAUUUUCACAAACAUUCGAAACUGAUUUGGGUUCAGACUUGUGUUCUGUCGGAGACUAAAAGGAGGUGAACUCGAUCUGUCUACUUCGUGAUAUGUAGUUUAAAUUUAUUUUAUGCGACAAUGCUACUGUUUAAUAUAAGUAUUUUAUGUACCGUAGUUUGAUCUAAUGAAACUAAAGAAGCCUUGACAAAGGUCUAAGGAGAAUGUUGGUACUUUUACUGUUGCCAAUGCUUCUAGUAUAAGGUACCUACUUGUUGCAUAUGGUUUUUGGAUCACCCAAUGCAUUCUGAAACAUGGUGUUUUUUUUUCUUUCUUUCUUUGCCUGGUAUGCUUGUAUUUCAAUCCAAGAAAUGGAAAAUUUCUUCUCCCUUUCCAACUCAAAUUUGAUAAAUUCUUUCAUGUUUUUGGCUUUUCAAGCAAAUGCAAAUAUACAUCUAGAUGCAUAGCUUGAUUGGAAAUGUAAGUCUAUAGAGAAUCAAAACAGGGAACAAAAAGGCUACAAUUUUAAGAAUGUUUAUUUAUGUAUAAUUCAUUGUUGAUGAAGAUAAGCUUAUCCUGGCUCUCUUGUACAGAAACUUUUUUACUUGUUUACUUUGUCCAUUGACUGGCAUUAUGUAAUGCGCUCUCCCAAUUUCCUGGUGUGUUUAUCUAUGCACUGAAAAUGUGACGCUUCUGCACUGGAUAACAUAUGUAUGUUUUGUGUGGGACAGUGAUUGUGUUAUUGCAUUAGUAUUGGUGAGUAGGAACAAGGCUCAAGUGGCUAAAUUACAUACUCUGAGAUUCGGUUCUGAGUUCUAGGAUGGGAUUUGAGGUUGUUUAUCUACAGCUAUGGAACUUUGAUUAGAUCAUAUAUUUGAACUGUUUGGUGGCAUGUCAACUAGGUGAACCCUUCCCAGGAAGUGAAGGUGAAGAGUAAAAACGUACUGCCUGUUUUUACGAUUUACGACCCGUGUGGCCUGUUUUAUACAGUACCAAGGUUAUACUAUCUUCGCUAUUCAUGGCUUGUGUGCGUCUACAUGGUCCUUCAUGGUGUAAUUAUGUCAAGCAAAUAUUUAGAUAACUAUUGAGCUUUGUUUAGGAUUAGUGUUGCUGAAAGAAUGAUCAUCAUUUAGGAUUGGACUUGAUGCAUCUAUUCAUUUAAGAUUGAUCAUCAUAUUCUUUACGCCUUAAUACGUAAGAUAGUUUUCUUAGUUCAUGCUGAGCAAUGUUCACAUUUUGUACUUGUUGCUGUCUCCGUAUGAUUUUUGCAGAAGUAUAAUCCUGCCAUGUUCAAACGUUUCGUUCAGUUCACUAUCUAGGCUAUGUAUGGCCUGUCGUACUGGAAUGGUUAAUUUGCAAGACAAAAUAUGCAAAAAUCUAGUUCUCAGUUAAAAUGCUGAUGAAACAAUAAAUGCUAUGCUUUGGUAGUUUCUUCAGUUUUCUAGCUAAGCUAGUCAUGUUGAAUGCUAUCUCCAGCAGGGUCAUGAAAGUCUCAAUCUUCCUAGACUUGAUAUUUAUAGAGUAUUGGCAAUGAAUCUCUACUAUGAAAAGCCUUUACUAGUAGUUUCUUUGUUAGCUCAGUCUGAAGGUUUAACUUUUACUACUUGUUUGGUGGAUCUUUACCAUCCACUAUUCCCAAGAAUUCAUUCCUAGUUAUGUAUGCCUCCUAUUCAAGCUCAUAGUAUUGUUACUUUUCCUGUAACUUUGUAUUUAUCUUUCUUCUUUUUUUAUAAGGAUCGAGGAAGCAUUCAGCAAUUAUAGUGCAAGAAAAAACAAUGUACUUAAAUGUUUACAGGGCUGUUUAGUAGAUCCACUGAAGUAGAACAACAAGUUUGGGUGCAAUGUCAGCAAAGGUGGAUGUGUUUCAGCUUGGUCUCAAGGACGUCGUGCCCUGGUCUAGGUUAAAGCCUCUAUGGUGGUGGACGGAUGGACAGACGAGACGCCGACGGAGCCUUGUUCUUGGACUUGCGGUGGUCUUUGUCAAAUUCUGCUAAAGAAACAACCUUGUCAGCCACUGAAGCUUCUUUUUCGUAUCAUUCCAGGGAAACUGAUGCAACCGAUACAUGAACAUCUCACCUGGAUCUGGGUUUGUCUGAUGCUGCCAUGUUGCAGAUGGAGGUUGACCUUGCACCUUGGAAAUCAACUAUUGCAGUGCUACCUGUCCACCAUGCCUUUUCCCUGGAACCAUAAUCGGUUCAAGUUGAACAACAGUAUAGUUUACAAAACAAUGAUUGCUGAAGAAGAUGAGACUGGCCAGAGAUGAGAUUUUG